AUGCCACCGCGGCGGAGCCUUUCGGUGAAGCACAUCCGGUUCGCUGAACGGCUGGAGAGGAUACGAUCGAGGCGGUGGGGAGGAGACAACGACGACCCGGAGGCCCAGCUGGACGACACCACGCUGUGGACGAAGACGAUCCUUCUCGGGGAGAGGUGCCGCGUCCCAAGUGGGGGCGGGGACGGCGGCGGCGACGACGCCAUGGGCUACCGGCCGAGGCAUCCCCGGUCGGUGCCGGUGACGAGGAGCAACUCCUUCGCCGGCGUCCUCGACAACCAUGGCGGUUCAUGCAGGCCUGCUGGUGCGCGCUUGUAG
rnacentral:rRNA from 1 species